rnacentral:rRNA from 1 species
GCAUAAUCAUUAGUCUUUUAAUUGAAGGCUGGUAUGAAUGGCGGGACGAAGUAUUUACUGUCUCUUUUAUAAUGAAAUAGAACUUAAUUUUUUAGUCAAAAAGCUAAAAUAAUAUUGGAGGACGAGAAGACCCUAUAGAGCUUAACAUAGAAUAUUUAAUUUUUAUUUAUUUUUAAAAUUUAAAUUUGCUGUGUUUAGUUGGGGUGAUUGAAAGAUAAAAAUAACUCUUUUUAUUUGUGAUCACAAAUGAGUGUGUUUUUGAUCCGUUUUUUACGAUUAAAAGAUUAAGUUACCUUAGGGAUAACAGCGUAAUUCUUUUCGAGAGUUCUAAUCGACAAAAGAGUUUGCGACCUCGAUGUUGGACUAAGAUUAAUCUUGGGUGUAGAAGUUCAAGUUUUAGGUCUGUUCGACCAUUAAAUUCUUACAU